GAUUAAGCCACGCAUGUUUAAGCACAUGCCAUAUAAAAGCGAAUCUGCGAAUGGCUCAUUAAAUCAGUUAUGAUUCCUUGGAUCGUACCUUACUACUUGGAUAACUGUGGCAAUUCUGGAAAAAUAUUCAGCAGUGCUUUCACCCUCUGUGGAAAAGCGUUUUAUUAGACCACAAACAAUCGAACCUCCUUUUCUUAUUAUGUGGCCGCUCUGUAUAAUGUUGGGCUGAUCGCACGGGCUCGGUCAUGAUCGUAACGGAUGAUGGCGAAACAUGGUUCGAUUUCGGACAGGUUCUCUAAGAAAUUGCUGCUACAUCCAUUCAAAUUUUAAAUGAGCACAGGUUGUGUCAGAACGCUGCAGAAAC
rnacentral:ncRNA from 1 species